UGAAAGGCCUAACACAAGGCUGGAUGCUAAAAGCAGGGAGUGGGAGGGAAAGGAGUUGAAGUGAGCUUUCCCACAGCUCUUUGGGCUGUUCACAGGCCAGGCCUGCAGGAUGCACAGCAAAAGGGAGGUACAGCUCAGCUUCCGUAAUGAGCACCUCUUCGGCAAAGCCCACCUCCCUCUCUCGCUUGAUUCCUCGACCAUCCUUAUCAAAGACCUUCCAGGUAAACAGGCAGCCAUCUUCAGCAACAGUCAGCAGGAAUUGGUCAUCAAAGAGGCAGCGGGUACUUCAUUGCACGGAUGGUUCCCACCGAGGUGCCCACAAACAUCAUGCGCCCAGAAUGCGAGAUGACGAUGGCUGUGUAGACGACAUCAAAG